AGGAGUCGAGGUAACAAGAAUUUGAGAGCCCUUCACACACACGGAGAGCUAGCUACCCCAGAGGCACAGACGUUCCAAACCAAACCCUCCUGCAUUGCCCCUGGGUUCAUCCAACCAAAAAACUUGGGAGACUCAUUAACACUCGGGAGGGUGGGCAUGCCUACCACCGUGCAGCAGAACCAAGGAACCACAACACCGCACGGAUGAACCCUGCCUCUGCCGAAUAAAACUACAGAACAAGACGCACGAUACGACAAGCGGAGCCUUUCUACUUUACUUCCUCAGUGACGCCUAAGGGUGGAAGGCCAGCGUCAAAUCAGAGGUGGUGCAGGCUCCAGCUGCUGGACUAAGAGCUGUCGGAGAGAAUGCCCCAGAUUCGGCCGGCCCCGAGGUGGGCGCCCCACCCUCUUCGAGGGAACCACCACUAAGUGCCCAGGAGCUGACCUCAGAGAGGUUACAGGUGUGAACUGCAGUCCAGAGCUCAGCAGUCCUAAGGAGAUUGGCCAGGAAGGUGUAGGCAUCUGGAUUCUUCCGCAGUGAAGAAUUCUUGCCGUUUCAGUCCAGAAACAGUCCAACGCGGCAGAAAAUAUCGUUGCUAGAAAUCCAGACUGACCUUCAUUCCAACAGAAAGUCUACCCAGCAUUUAUGUCAACAACCCUUCCCCCUGAAAGAUCAGUUCGUGACUUUUAGCCCAGAUGACCAACGCUAUCACAGGCGGCAACAGGACUGAAACACGAACCACCACGGAGGAUAGCUUAGCCGGACAGUUUGGCGCACAUAACCACACAUCCAUCCAAGACGGCACUACGGACAUCCAUACCUGCUACAGCUCCAUCUAUAAAAUGGGAAGGACUCACUGUGAGGUUUUCUCAAAACCGCUGCCAAGUCAGAUGACCAACGUGUGGGCAUCCAACUGUUCCCUCUCAUCUAGGCCAGGACCUCCACAGUGGGGUACAGGAGGGACUGGCCAGUGUGUGAUGGCCUGGGCUUGCCACGAAGGCAGGGUGUGUGGUGGAGACCUUAUAAAUGAACACUCAGGAGGCUUCUAGCGGGGCAGUCAGGAGGAAAUAAGCGGGAUGUCAGUUUUACUGAGUAGAUGUUAAGAGUCUCUGAAACGUAUACACCCAACCGACACCAUAGAAAGACUCCCAGCCAACUUCUUUACUGAACACAUCUUCGCUGAAUACCCUUCUUCCAUUUUGUAGUUUUCACAGUCCAGUCAAGGGCAUAAAAAAAAAGUGACCCCCCCCCCCUUACACACUUCCCUCCACCCACAAAGCUGCCCGUGUAUGAGCCCUUAGGAGAUGCUCCUCCAUCCAGGAAGAAACCAGGUAAAGAAAUUAGGAGCAGGGUUUUGGGGAAGGAUGCUAAGCAUGGGUCUGGGUGCAGCUUAGUGGUAGAAUGUGCUUGUUCAGGAUGCACAGGCCCAAUCUUUCCUGCCCAGAAGAAAAAGAAAAUGCUUCUCUUUCGCUGUCCCUGAACGAACCCACAAGGUCAGAGACAUCCAAACAGCAUAAUACACCAGUUAAACUACUAAGUAGGAUUUCCUCCCUCCUCACAGGUCUCUGUUAAGAAUGUGAGCACAAGUCUAUUUAGUAGAACUGUCUUUGGGUUGAUUUCCUGUGAGGACUUUCAGGAAGACCACUUUUUUUAUUUCAAUAAGUAGAAUGGCCCGGUUCUCUUAUCAUGGCUCACCAAAGAGAGCUGGAAGGGGGGGGGGGGUAGAUGGCCAUCAAAUGAGAGAGUUAGAAAACCGUUAUCUACCAUCACCCAGAGAAAGUCCCCGUGCAAGUGCCGCACUGAGCACGCAAGAAAGAUCACGAUCUCCUUUAAGGUCACAGAACAGUCACGGUUUACCAGCCCACGCAACAACAUGCGCCACUUGGAGAUGAAGAAGCCGAGGGUUCCAGACUGUAUACACGGAGACACCAUGGCAUCCCUUACCCAGCACAAUUGACACCUUAAAUUGUAUUGCUUCCGCGGAGCUUUGGUUGGUCCUUACUUGACCCGGGUCUCGUCGGGAGUGACCCUGAAGAACUGAACCCUCUCCCUGCUCCCCAUAGCCAGAUCUUCCUUCUGUUCUUAGAAAGUUCCCAAGGCUGAUGCCACCCAGGCAGAUGGUGCUUGCCCUGAGCCAACAGGAGCCAGAGCUUUUACCUCGUGAUGAGUAAACAAAAAAAAUAACAAAAACAAAAAUACCCGAUGCCAAGUCCUCCCUGGUCACAGGAGCCACCCACUUUCUCUCUUUGUCUCUGGGUGUCACUGGAUAGUCUACCGGUAUCUAUUGGAUCCUGAGACCUCAGGAAUGGCCCUUGGUUCUGCCCAGACUUAGCCUCAUCCCGGGGUGGGAAAAAGGCAAUGUGCUCUGUGAAAAGGUAAGAAGAAACACAUCAAAAGGGGGGGCGGCCAUAUGUGAACGGAAAUAUACCCCCGACCUAGCAUACAAUGCACAAGCAGGACCUGCCCGUCUAAGAUUUAUAAUUGUUCUUUAUAAAGUAAGCUGUGGGGCUGGAGAGAUGGCUGUUCUUCCAGAGGUCCUGAGUUCAAUUCCCAGCAACCACAUGGUGCCUCACAACCAUCUGUAAUGAGAUCUGGUGCCCUCUUCUGAC